rnacentral:rRNA from 1 species
CACGUAGGCGGCAAGUUAAGUCAAAGGUGAAAGCCCUCGGCUCAACCGAGGAACUGCCUUUGAAACUGGUUUGCUUGAGUCCGGGAGGGGGGAGCGGAAUUCCCAGUGUAGCGGUGAAAUGCGUAGAUACUGGGAGGAACACCGGUGGCGAAGGCGGCUCCCUGGACCGGUACUGACGCUGAGGUGCGAAAGCGUGGGUAGCAAACA